rnacentral:rRNA from 1 species
CGCAUCUGUGCAUGCAGCAUAUCAAUAAGCGGAGGAAAAGAAACUAACAAGGAUUCCCCUAGUAACGGCGAGUGAAGCGGGAAGAGCUCAAAUUUGAAAUCUUAAAGGGUUUCCCUUUACGAAUUGUAGUUUAAAGAAGUGUUUUCUGUUGAGGUUUUGGUAAAAGUUCUUUGGAAUAGGACAUCAUAGAGGGUGAGAAUCCCGUAUUUGACCUUUACUUUCAACUUUGUGAUACACUUUCAAAGAGUCGGAUUGUUUGGGAAUGCAGUCCAAAAUGGGUGGUAAAUUUCAUCUAAAGCUAAAUAUUGGCGAGAGACCGAUAGCGAACAAGUACCGUGAGGGAAAGAUGAAAAGAACUUUGAAAAGAGAGUUAAACAGUACGUGAAAUUGUCAAAAGGGAAGCGUUUGACACCAGUGUUGUUUUUCUGAAAAUCAAUUAAAGAACUGUUUAUGCUAAGUUGUUUAGACUUUAUCAGCUAUCUGCUUAGUUUUGAGCUUUUCUUUAAUGCACUUUUCAGUUAACAAGUCAACAUCAAUUUCUUUUGCUGUAAAAAAGCUUGAGGAAGGUGGCUUGAGAUUCGUCUUAAGUGUUUAUAGCCUCUUGCCUAUGCAGUCGGAGAGAUUGAGGUCUGCAGCGUAGAUCCUUCGGGGCUAAAUGCAUUUGUGCUAAGUUAUAGCAUUUUAUAGACAACUUGUUGACUAUGAUUUGUCUUGUAGCUUACUCGCUUAUGUUAUUUUACCUACGCUUAGGAUGUUGAGCGCAUGUCUCUCUCU